CAAUCAUCGCUCAGCAAUAUUGUGGUGGGAGGUACGGUCUGAACCUGAUUUUCAGUAACUAUAAUUCCCGUCGCAAAUUGUACUUUGAAUAGAAACCAUACCUCCAGUUUUCUGAUGACUGGCAGGUUUGCAGAUGGAACAUGAGAGGACCAUUCUUUCAGAAGACAUGGCAUUUUGUCGCUGACAGGGAAUGGCUGGAGUGCAAAUUUGGACGGAGCUUGGCUGGAGCAGUGAAACCGAACCAGGCAGACCCUUAAACUCAAACCGUUCCGCACUCCUGCCUGCCAAGUUUCCUGUCGCCAGGCUACUCUGGCACCUCCUUCCACCCUACUUCUGAGCUUUUCAUUGAAAGAAAUAGAAAUGCAUGGUACUGCUGCAAGCAAAGAAGAAGAAAAAAUAAACAGAUUGGCAGGCUACCUCCCUGAAACAGGGUCCCUUUAACAAAUUUGCAUGUAAUCUGAAACACAAUGCAUCUGUCCUUCUAAUGUACAUCAGCGACAGCCGUAUAUUUACAAUGAUUAUAUUAACUUUUCUGUUCAGUACUGGGUAAUUGAAACCUGAAGUAAAACAGCUGAUGACAAAGUUAACUCACAUCACCUGUAUUCUUGGGCAUGAACUGUUUGCUAAUUUUAAGGCAAAACAAAAUGAUUAUGUGAUACGAUGAUUAUAACAACUGUGGAACACAGAGGAAUGCAAAAAUAAGAAUAUUCGGCAAAAGUA